CGAAUACGUAUGAAAUUAUACCGUGCCGAUCCGCGAACGCGGCGACCGAAUUAAAUACAAUUCGCACCGUGUUGGCCCCGCCGCGGCGACCGUAUUUUCGCGGGGCAGUACGUUGUAUAUUAUUGGGGUUUUUGUUAUUUUCUUUUUUCUUUCUACUCUACUCCGUUUCCUCCGCAGACGCUCGUGUAAUGAUUUCCCCCCCCCCACCGCCCCGAUUACCCGACCGUUCUUUACCCGUAUGGCACGUUGAAACGCGUACUAUAUAUAUAUACGUAUUAUUUAAAAGUGGAGGAAAAAAAAGAAAAUAAAAAUAAAAAACCACAUUUUGUUCGUAUAUUAUAAACUAUAAGAAAAUAUUAUAUUAUACAUAAACAUAUAUAAAUAUAUAAAUAUAUAUACAUACCUAUUUUGUAAAGAGGGCCUAAUGUCUGAUCUCUGUACAGCGUAAAUGUUUUUUUUUUUUUUUUCUCUCUCUCUCCGUCUUGAUAUUUUUAUUUUCUACGGCGCGUAAUAUUAUUAUUAUUAUUAUUAUUACGGUGUGCACCUCGCCCUGACCGAACAAACCCAUAUAAUAUAUAUAAAUGUGCCGUAAAUAUGUACGCGCACGUGAACUUGUUUUUUUUUUUUCCCCCCUUAAAUUUUGUUUGUUUUUUAUUAUUAUUAUUCUAGAUUUCUAAUUUUAUUUUUUAGACUAUUACCUAUUAUUAUUAUUAUUAUUAUAAUAUUAUAUUACCUAUAUAUAUAUAUAUAUAUACUGAUAAGUAAUAUUGUAACCCCGCGCGCACGUUUGCGUGCGACGAAAAAGUUUAAAUUUAUUAUUAUUAUUAUUAUUAUUAUUAUUAUUAUUAUUAUUAUCAUAUAACUAUUUAAGAAAAAAAAAUAAAAUAAUAUCCGUUUCGAAGAGUGAAAAUAAACGUUUCAGUUUACC